rnacentral:rRNA from 1 species
UACGUAGGUGGCAAGCGUUGUCCGGAUUUACUGGGCGUAAAGAGCGCGCAGGCGGUCAGAUAAGUCGAAUGUGAAAGCCCCCGGCUCAACUGGGGAGGGUCAUUCGAUACUGUUCGACUCGAAGGCGGGAGAGGGAAGUGGAAUUCCCGGUGUAGUGGUGAAAUGCGUAGAUAUCGGGAGGAACACCAGUGGCGAAGGCGACUUCCUGGCCCGUUCUUGACGCUGAGGCGCGAAAGCUAGGGGAGCAAACGGG